ensembl:lncRNA
CUUUCUUUCUAUCCUUCUUUCUUUCUUUCUUUCUUUCUUUCUUUCUUUCUUUCCUUCUUUCUUUCUUUCUUUCUUUCUUUCUUUCUUUCUAUCCUUCUUUCUUUCUUUCUAUCUUUUUCUCUCUCUCUCUCUCCCUCUCUCUCUCUCUCUCUUUACCUCCUCCUCUUUUAUUGGCACGACUGCUUGUUUUGAAAAGCUGCAUAAACUCCGGCAUAUUUUCCAUGACUUCAGCCCUGCUCAGAAACCUGCUGAACCCGUCUGUCCUAGUGACUGUGUCUGGAGUCUGGAGUAGGAAGGAUGUCCUAGCGACUGGGUCUGGAGUCUGGAGUAGGGAGGAUGGCCUAGCGACUGGGUCUGGAGGCUGGUAGGGAGGAUGGCCUAGCGACUGUGUCUGGAGGCUGGUAGGGAGGAUGGCCUAGCGACUGUGUCUGGAGGCUGGUAGGGAGGAUGUCCUAGCGACUGGGUCUGGAGGCUGGUAGGGAGGAUGGCCUAGCGACUGGGUCUGGAGGCUGGUAGGGAGGAUGGCCUAGCGACUAACCCGGCCCUGGUCUGGAGCAGGGAUGGAGAGGGAGAGAAAGGGGCACAGAGCAGCCCCAUAAAGACUCAUCCCUGGGAAAAUGAACAUGGAGGAAAGGAGGGUGGGGUAAGCAGCACAGUGUGACAUGUUUACGUUAGCUAGCAUCGUCAUUGUGGAAGGAGAUCUCUAGUGUAUGCAGCCUGGGAAACUGGAGAGGACUGGAUGGGAGGAGCUACAGUAACAUAAACACCUGUUCACUGACAGUCACACACCUAUACACCUCAGUGAGGGAACACACGUGUUUUGUAGAAAGUAAUAACAUGUUUACUCUCUGAUUUGAUUCAAUGCUCUACUGUUUUCAUUCACUUGUCUUAAAGGAUGUAUAUUCAUAGUAGCUAUUGACUCACAGUUUGUAUGUUCUGUUCAUUUGUGUGUUUGGGUCCAGACAGAGCUUUGCUAUGGGCUUGAAGUCACUUUCAGUUCUCUAUCUGGUCAUCCAGUUUUUCGCCCCAGCAGGGAACCCGACAUUCAGCCAACCACACCCCCCUCACCCCUCCUCUCCUCUGUUAGUCUCAGUAUUGGAGCUAAUAGACCUGUCAUUUAGUGGCGUGUUUAAGGGAUUUGUCUCUAGGCAUGUUUCCACUCUGUUCAUUGAUGUUCAUUUGAUGUGGAAAUGAUGACUGAAAUGAGCAUGAAUAUUAAAUUCCUCAGGAGAGCUGCAUGCUGCUAUUCCAUCUGAAUAGAAUAUCUUCCUUUCAGCACUUAAUUCUCUCUCACACACACACUCUCUCUCUCUCUCUUUCAGGGAAACAUUUACAAAUGCUCGUAUCCGUGGUGACAGGCAGCCAAUCAACCUGUAAUUCCGCACCUCCCUCCCUCC